CACAUUUAUCAGAGUAUCUGAGGGAAAGUUUACACCACCACACCUCUCUUGCUUUUUCUCUUUGUCUGCCAUUAGCUCAUAACUUGAGGAAUCUAGACACCAUUUUAAAUCUAUGAAAGAUGUUGAUGGUGACCAUGACACUAAUGAAGCUCCCCUCUUGCACAGAAGAACAAAAGCAAAAGGAUCAAAGUGGUGGAACAAAUAUAGUGUGUCUCCUUGCUAAAGACCCUUCAGAAAUGGAGAAGCAGGCUGCCAUAGUAAUUCUUGUGAAAUCAGUUAUUGCUUGAAAGGAGACAGUCAUCCUGAAGUUCAAAAUUAGCCAUGCACAACUGUGCAUCUACUCUGUGUGAAACUACUGCGAUGGUGCAUCAGAUCAAGUAAUUAUGCAUACAAAUGUUUAGACAAUUUUUCUGAUUGAGGUCUGUACAAAGAGAAAGUUGAAAGAGUUCCUGGAGUAUCUUGGAUUAAUGAUCAACACGGACACAUGGUGCCAAGGAAGUUCAUCAUAGAUCUGGGUGAGGAUAAGAAUACUAUCAAGUGCAAGGUCUCAUCUCAGAAGAAUGUUAACAGAAGGUAACAUGGAUAUGAAGGAAAACAAGUGGCAUUUCAGAAACAAAAAUCCAAUUCUUGUUGAUUGGGAAUGCAGAUCUCCUAAACAAAUUUGCUCCAAAGAACUAGAGUUCAUAUGAGACCUACCAAAUAGUUCACGUUAUCCUCUCUGAAUUUCACUCUGUUACAACUGCUGACAAAGAUUAAGGUCUCAUCAUAUAUGCUCCACUUCUUCAAAAGGUAAGUGCAGAGAAUUUGAUUUUAAGGGAUACCUUCCUAUUAGUGAAUUAGUGCUGCAAACUAGGGAGCCUAUGAACAGAAUCAUCACAUAGAGAAAAUCAAAUUGUGCCAUGGGCAGAGCAGUUUCCUAUCUCUAUGUGCACUGCGCAUCAAGAGGAAGAUGAGCUCCAAGACUUACAUAAAAAGUCAGAAUAAGCAGAAUGGAGCUUGCAAACAGAAAAAAGCUUUACUCCUUGUAAGUCAAUUGAGUGGACUGGCAAAUGACUUUGUUGUAUCU